GCUGCCUCCUGCACACCCCUACUGGGGAUCAAAUCUGCAACCUGGGCUUGACCAGAAUUGACCCUGGGACCUCUCAGUCUGCAGGCCGAUGCUCUAUCCACUCAGCCAAACCGGCUAGGGCUGGACUCAGUUUUGCACACAGAAGUAUAAUCAUUUUAAAAUGUAAUUCAGAUUAUGCUGACCAUCUGCUUCUUUUUGUACCUGUACAAUCCAAACUCCUUAUCAUGGCAGUCAGGCCUGGCCUAGCUUUCCAGCUUUUAUCAUACUGUUCCUUUCACCAGCCAUAAUGGCUUUCAGUUAUUUUUUUAAUGAAGUUUUCCCUAUCUCCAGAUCAUUGUAACCUAUACUUGUCAGCUCUCCUUGGUGGACUCUUCAUCCUUCAGGUCACCUUCAAUAUUGGAAAAGGCUUUCCUGAGGAAUUAUAAGGGAAUGGUUAAGCUUUGUUUUGUUUUUUUAAGUGAGGAUUUGGAGUUAUCUACAUAUUUGAUUUACUAGAUCAUAUUCUUUGGAAGCGAUGCAUUUUUAAGAAGUUUCCCAGGUGUUUUUGAUGGUAGUGAUCAUAAGGCUCUUAAACAAAUUUCUAGUGCCUACAACUCUUCCAUAUCAAAGCCAGAACUUCUGCCUGUUAGUGAUCAGGCAUAGGAGGAGUCUUCGGAAUAUUUUUUUACUAGAGCAUUGGAGCAUUGAAAUGACCUGUGGGAAUCAGAAAACUGGGCCUUGUUUUUAAUUUUGUUCUGUUUGGAAUUAGAUUAUUUAAUUCUCACAACCAUGUUGUGAAGUCAUAAUAAUAGGAUUAGUACUUUAAUCAUAUAACAAGCUCUCUGGCUUGUGUCAUUCCCCUACUUGAAAUACUUUAUGGUGUGUCAUCCCUGGCUCUCUGUGUUUGUUCCUGGCCUGCUUCUCCUGCCUUACAUCUCAGUCUUAUUUCUAUUAACUGCCUGUCCCCUUAAACAUAUGAAUUCACAUCUUGCUUCAGGAGACAGUGGUUUCUAGUUUCCAAGGUUUGACUAUAACAUGACUAUAUAUAUAUAUAAUCACAUUAUUAUAAAAUAUACUUAUUUAUAUUUUAUAUCUACUGUGAUUUAUAAUAGUAUAAUAUAAUAACUUAAAAACCUCUAAUCCUUUUUAAUAAUGAGGUGGAAUAACUGAAAAUAUAUACAGAAAUUUGUAUACCAAAGCCAUGGACAUACAGAAAAAACUACAAAGGCACAUGAUGGUAGUGCAUGUUCAAAUGUAUUUGAGAAUUCUGUUUUUAUUGACAAGAUUAUUGUCAUUGAACAGGUUAUCUCGUUAUUAUCAGACUUCACAUUAUUUAACAUUUGCUUUGCCUACCAGACUUUUAUUUUGAAUACUGACUUUUUAUGGAUAUGUGAAAUUUACCUUUAACCAUUUUUUGAGUGCACAUUCAGAGGCCUUAAUGACAAAGCUUUUGAUUACAGUUUGAUAUCCAUCGUAGUUCUGCUGAUGGACAUAAGAUGGCAUGUAGUCAUGCUGGCAGUGCUUUAGUCCAUGUGGCAGUUACAGUUCAUGUCAUAAAUCUGCAGUUUGUCUUUGAGAGUUACAGCCCUAUAGCUGGGUCUGUUAGCUGGGUCUUUGUUUGGUGUGCAGUCAGGGAGCCUGCACAGCUGGAGGGCAGUUUGGCAGUGGUGGAUUCAGUCUGCGCUGCACUCUUUAAGGCCUUUCUGGAAAGUGUCAUACUAGUCUCUCCAAUUUCAUUUCCCUUUCUUCUGAUUUUUCUGGUUUUUGUUUAAAUUUUUUUCUAAAAAGGUUGUAUAUUAGUGGUUGGGUGAGGUAGUGUUGAUGGUGACAGGAGAUGGCCUCCUGAUGACUGGGAGUGUGGAAGGGAACUACAGGAGCUUAGUGAGGAUUGUGGCGAGUUCUAGAUCAGAAGGGCAUACUGGGUUCAAGCCAUGAAUCUAAAGUUCUGUUAAAAUCACAGAAGACAUACAAUGAGAAAAUUAUAGCAAUGAAGGCAAAUUCUUAACUACAGUAGAAAGACAACAAGGGUGCUGUGAGGCAUUUCUAGAAGAUAUAAACCAAGGAACCGGAUCUUAGUCAAACAGAGAGGACCACAGGCGCAAGGAGCUGAAAUUAAGGAAUUUUUUCCAUUUUAGAGGAGCUAUGAGAGUGGUGGCUGCAGUUUGAUAAGCCACAUUUUAAGGACUGAAUAGUUAUGUCAGUCCCUGGCUCGGAGUUGUUGGUCCAUAGUAUUCCUCUAAGCUAAAGCCAUAACACAGCUUGUUGUUUGCCAAAUAGAGUGAGAUGCCUGAUAAUAGUAGUUUCCCAAAGCAUGUAUGGGGGCCAUCGAAGUGUGGCAGUGCCGUAGGUGUCUUGUGGGUACUAUACGGAGCUUCGAUUCCUAAUGCUUGGAAAGCAGGCAAAGAAAAACCUGGUGGCUGUCUAGUUCCCAUUUUUCAUACUGACAGCUCUUCCCUCCUUCCUCGUACACUUAAAAUGAUGGUCCUUGUGAUCAAAAUCUGCUAGGGAAUUUCACUCAAGCUGAGAAAAACUUCAGGAAACAGUAUUGAAAAAUCUAGUAAUUGGCUGACUACCAUCUGCAUACUUCCCACUGUCUAUUGUACGGAUUUUAUAUUUUUAAAGGGUUGUAAAAAACAAAGAAUAUGUGACAGAUUCCUAAUGUGCACGUCAAAGCCUAAGAUACUAACUGGCCCUUUACAGAAAAAGUUUGCUGAUCCCUAAGGUUCUCAUUUACCAAUAGAGACAAGCAACCCAGAAGCAACAAACAUUAAGGAAAAGAGCCACAUGAAAGAUAGGCAGUGAACUUAAAUAAUUCCUGGGGAAACAAGGCAGGAAAAAAAGAGAACUUUUCGAGUAAGGAUAAUUAGUAUUAUAUGUAAUAAUAAUUAGUCAUAAUUACAAUAAUUAGUUUUACAUGUUAUCCUCAUAUAGUAUAAAUCAUAUCUUCAAAGAGAUUUUAGAGGUUACUGUAUUCAUAUCUUGGUAAUAAAAAAAAAUAGUUGAUAAAAUAAAAAUACUUUAGGCCAAUUGUUGAAUAAAACAUGUCCAAGAACAAAAUUAACUGAGUUAGCAUUUUGAGCUGAGGGAUACUUUCAGAAUCUUAAAAGAAUAUAAGGCCAAACAGAAAGUAUGAGAAAAUUUAAAAGACAUAGAAGAUCCAGGUAAAUGCCAUCCAUUUAAAAUGAAACUUCAGGUUAGGAACCACAUGUAUAGCGAAUUCACCAUUGAAGACCUACAUAUGUCAGGUGCAUGGUGCUCAAUAAAUAUUUUUGAGGAAUGAAUGAAUGUAUUGUCUGUGUAUAUAUGAGUUCCAGAAGAUGAGAACACACAAAAAAAUGAAGAAAAUAAAUAAUAGGGACAAAAUUAUUCUGAUGAAAGACUGACAUCAUAUUAAAAGGCUUGAGUACUGAGGAAAAAUAAAAAAGGAGACAUACACUUAAGAUAAAUUCUGACGAAGUUUCUGUAAACCCAGGAUAAAGAGAAAAACCUUAAAAUGUCUAAAAAAGCAAUUUGCUUAUAAGGGGAAGAGUGACAAUGAUCUUAGACUUGUCAUCAGUAUAUUGGGAUGCUAGAAGAUACUAUUUUUAAAGUUAUGAGCGAAAAUUGUUUUGAAUUUGGAAUUAUGUUGAGUCAAACUAUAAUUUUAAGAGUGAGGGCACAAAAUAAAGGCAUUUUAGCAAUUUGUACACAUGGAGGACUCAGAAAUUAACUCAAAACUACAUAAUAUGACACCAAACUAUGUAAUGAAAAUGUGAACAAGAAGAAAGGCACACAUUUGCAAUCAGAGCUCAGUAUUUGAACAUACCUCUUUCAGAAAUUAUCAGAUGAAGAGUUCAAAAUUGAGGACACUGGUUUUGAAUCAUACAAUUAACAAACUUUAAUAGAGUAUUUCUUUUCAAAUAUGAAAAUGACCAUGAUGUAAACCACAAAGAAAUCAUAUAGGCUGCAUCCUGUUACCAAUAAGCUAGAAAUUAACAAGUGGAUAGCAAUACACCAAUACAACUCUAAUCAGUAUAUAAAAGAAAACAUGUUCUUAGAAUGCUUGUGUUUAAACAAAAUAAAAAUUUAUGAAAUUUUGAGUGAACUCUUAAGUUGUUCCAGGUUAUAAAGAAACCUGAAAUACCUCUCAAUUUGGUCUCUGAGGAUAGCAUACCCCAUAUUUUAAAAUAUUGUCCAUCAAAGAUAACUAUAGACAUAUCUCAGGAACAAAUGUAAAUCAUUGGAAGAACAUUAGCAAACUAAAUCCAAAAGAAUUGUCAUGACAAAGUAGGGUUUGCUCAAAGAACACAAUUAAUGUAACUCAGUACACUUGGAAAUCUAUUACUAUAACUUUUUACAUUAGAAAAACACCAUGUGAUAAUCUUGAUAGAUGCUGGAAAAACAUUUUCUAAAAUGUAACAUUUCAGAUUUCAAUUUUGUCAGGCUAGGAAUAGAAACUUGGCUAAGGAUAUCUACCAAAAAUGUUCAGCAAAUGUCCACAUUCAAGUCAGAGCAAGCCUGUUGGCUAUACAACAGUCACUUAACCCAAAGAAAUAGAAAUAUUAGGGAGAGACAACACAGCCAUUAUUUUAGGCAGUAUGAUUGUGGAGGCAGUACAUUCGAGAGAAUCAAUUGGAAAACUAUUAGCUCUGAUAAGAGGUAUUUUUGUUUAAGAAUUUAACAUACAAAUUUGCAGCUUUCUAUAGACCGGUAUCAGACAAUUAGAAAUGUGAUUUAAAAAUUCCCAUUUGCAAUAAAAAUCUAUAUGCUCUCAGCAAUUCUUAGACACUUCCCGCCUGCCCCCACAUUUUACUAACUUUGGGUUGGAAUGUAUUUUACAAUUGAUGGCACUUUACCAUUGCUGUUGGCCACGGGUAAAGAACUAUAAGCUUUCUAAGAGUGAGUGAGGAAAGCACAAAUACCUAUGGGAAAAAAAACCCUCUACAUUUUAAUGAAGGGUAUAAAACGCCUGAAUAAAUAGCUAAAAUAUCCUGUGUUCCUGUUUAUAAAAACUGUUUUGUCCAGACAUCAAUUACCUUAAAAUGAAUUUAUAAAUUCCAAUUCCAAUGGGAUUUUGUUACUUAGAAUUAAUGUUGGCUGUGAGAGCAAGUUAAAACUAACAGUAGCUUACAUAAGAUUGAAGUGUCUCAUAAAAAUUCAGGAGGGCAAUCUAGGGCUGGUGCCCUUCCAGGUAUCAGAAACGGAUGCUCCUGGCUUCCAAACCUCUGAUCUCCAGUGAGCCUGUCUCUUCUGGUCAAUGGACAGGAAGUGAAUAACGGUCACACACCUUAACUUUGAGAACAGUUGCCCGAAAUUGUACCUACGUAUCUAUGUUAAUCCCAUUGCUUAAAACACGAACACUCCUGCCAAGAAGGCUGGGAUUUGUAUUUAUUCUAUAUAUGUCCGUGUUUCCAGCUAAAAAGUAGGGGUCCUAUGCAGUGGUUCUCAACCUGUGGGUCGCGACCCCUUUGGCGGUUGAACGACUCUUUCACAGGGGUCGCCUAAGACCAUCCUGUAUAUCAUAUAUUUACAUUACGAUUCAUAACAGUAGCAAAAUUACAGUUAUGAAGUAGCAACGAAAAUAAUUUUAUGGUUGGGGGUCACAACAUGAGGAACUGUUUUAAAGGGCCAGAAGGUUGAGAACCACUGGAUUAAAGGAAAGGGGGAAAUGGAUAUGAGGCUACAAUUAGCCACAUACGCCAUUCAAGUGACUCAGAAAUUCAUAUGCAAAGUAACCAAGAAAAACUAAAAAGAACAAUGAGGAAAAUUUGACUAUGUUUCUUACUAGAAACAAAACUAUAAUGUAUCAAAAAAUCAAUGAAACAAAGGAAAAUAAUAAUAUGUAGAUAUAUGGUAUAUUGAUAAAGAUACAGUUUUAAAGAAGGUAAAGAAGUAGCCUGUGAAUGAAUUGGAGACAGAAUAGCCACACUGGGAGUACCUGCCCAUGUCACACUGUGCACAAAGACACAUUUCAAGUGGAUUAAAGAGAACGGUUAAGAAAACCAAAGUACAUAAGUGCUAAAAUGUAGGAAAAUCAUAAUUUUGGGGUGCAGGUUUUCCUAAGCAAGAUAUAAACCCAAGGGGUGGCUCAGUGGUUGAACAUCAACCUAUGAACCAGGAGGUCACGGUUUGAUUCCCGGUCAGGGCACAUGCCCGGGUUAUGGGCUCGGUUCCUGGUAGGGGGCGCACAGGAGGCAGCGGAUCAAUGAUUCUCUCUCAUCAUUGCUGUUUAUAUCUCCCUCUUCCUCUCUGAAAUCAAUAAAAAUAUAUUUUAAAAAAGAUAUAAUCCCCAAAAAUGAGACCUAAGGAAAAAUAGCGACACAUUUGGAACAUGAAACGACUGCAGGGUGAAAGACCCUGAGCAAAGUUGAGAGGGGCGGAGACAUUUGCAAUACGUAUAUAUGACACAAAAGAUUAAAUUAAUAAAGAACUUCAGCGUAUCAAUUUUACAUUGAUAAAUAUUCAGAGAUUUAUAAUAGCCACUUUUGGUGAGGAAAAUAGGCCCUCUACCAGAUGGUGAAUGGCUGAACAAAUUGUUUCAUCUUAUUUGAAGGGCAAUUUGGAAGUAGCAAAAUUUAAAAUGCACAUACUAUCUGAUCUCUCCUAUAAACAACUAUUCAUUUGCCUGAAAUCACAAAUACCUGAAAUACACAUGAAUGCAAAGAUACUUUAUUUCAUCUAAUCUGAAAUGUAUUGAGGCUAAUGCUUUUUGACUAUUACCAGAAGUUGUCAAAAAAAGAUUUUUAAGCAACAAAUACCCCGUGGCCAACAGCAAUGGUAAGGUACCAUCAAUUGUAAGAUGCAUUCCAACCCAAAGAUAGUAAAAUGUGGGGCAGGCGGGAAGUGUCGUAAGAAUUGCUGAGACAGGGUGCAUCUAUAAGAAUGGUCUUCCCAGCAUUAUCUGAAAUAAUGAGAAAUUAGAAACAGCCUAAAUAUUCAGCCAUAAGGGGAAUAAAUUAUGUAUAGUCAUAACAAUUGAAUACUCUAGCCAUUAGGGAGAAUGAGAGAGAUCUUUAUGCUUUGACAUGAAAAUAUCCCAAGAUAUAUUGUGAAGAGGAAAAAGGCUACUUACAGUAGAAUUAGCUUUCUGUAGCAGCUGGGGUAUGACAGCCUUGUCCCUGAUCUGUAAUUCCAGACAACUCCAGGGUGAACUGGAAGACCAAUCCAAAGCUACUACGUCAGAUAAAGUGAUGCUGUUUGCACAACUCAGUGUCCUCAAGAGAUAUUUAUGUAAUACUCCCGAUUUGUAUUCUGCAUGAAACUCCUUUUACAAGACAUAAACUUCCCAUAGGGAGCAAACGUAGCCAGCUAAAAGAUGCUGAACAUAUGACUGUGUAAUGUAAUUUUAAACUCAGAAGGAAUUGGCUAGGCCUUUUCCAUCUUAGAAGCCGAAAGCUAUAAAAGAACCCACGAUUUCUUUUUUAAGUAUAACAUUCUUAAUUUUGGGAUUCUAAUCAAGCCAUGUUCUAACUCUAAUCAAGCAAUGCUUGUCAUAUGACGGAUUAAUAUAAAUAUUUGAAUUGUAUAUAUCAUGAGAUUUAAGUACUCACAUUUAUCACAAAAAACUAAUUGAUUUAUUAUUUCUACCUAAUUGACUUACAUUUGAAGCAGCUAAUUAAAUGAUUUCUGUUGUCACAUUAAUUGCAUUAAAGAAACUGACUAAAUGAUGUAUUUGUGGUUUAUUUGCAUGGUACUUGCUAAUUCUCCUCUCGUUCUCAAUCAGGGAUUCUCCAUCUUGGCCUGUUAAUAUUUGGGUUGGAGACUUGGUUGUGGGGGCCUCUCCUGUGCCUUAGAGGAUGCUCGGCAACAUCUGAGUUCUCUACGUAAUAGAUUCCAGUGGCACACGCCGUCAUGAAGUCAUUGACGAAUGUCCCCUGGGAGGCAAAAUUCUGCCCAACUGAGAAUCAUCAGUCUAGAUAAAAGUAGUUGGGUGUGGGGUUUGAACUCUAAAUGUUCCAUUUGGAGAUGUUGGGAUUUUUUUUUUUUUUCAAAGCCACCUUAGAUUCAGCAAUUCUAGGAAGCAUUCCUGGGUUUCCUUGACCCUCUCUUCCUCUACACACAGAUAAGCCAUGCUCUAGACCUUUCUCUCUUCACUCCGUGCUCUGGGCCUCGCUUUCCAGAAGGGAUAUUGUUUUCUUUGUUCCUGUCUCCAGCCAGCACAGUGCAUAGCACAAGGAAGAGGCUCAAAAAAAUGAGCUGGCUGGAAGAAUGACUGUUACCCAUUAUUUUUCUCUGGGAAGUAUAUGUCUCUAAAUACAGACCUUUGUUUAAAAAUCA